AUACCAACAGUUUAGUGGGACAGUUUUCAGCAGAGCAUCAAGAAAGGAACAUCCCAUUUAGUGAGGAGAAAGGAAGCAGAGGAAGAGAAAAAUUCUCUCCAGACAGCAGAUAUGCAGUGGAAUCUGGUUCUGUUCUUUCUGAUGGCUACACUGUAACCACAGCUGCCCUGGAGCAGCCAGAAGCAAAGCCACUGAAUCUGCACCACAAGCAGAGAAGGUUGAUGAUCUGAUCAAUGACAGAACAACUGAAAUGGAGCAAAGGCUCAAACAGCGACGCACCUUUGAUACAAGACAACCUCCCCUGAGCCACUUCACCCCUAUAACCCUACAUAAACCUAAACUAACGACCUACUGCAAAUGCUGGUGGAGAUUUAUAAUCUAGUGCUAAAUACAGCAACAUUUUUAU